rnacentral:sRNA from 1 species
AAUGUGGGCUUGGAGUCACAUUCAGAGCCUCUGAGGCAGAGGGGUGCCUGCGGUCUGUUCCCAGGGAUCCGGGCCCAGGGUCUGUUCCUGGGAAGGAUCUGUUCCGUGGGGCCCGCUGGAGCCGCGUUUUCAAUAUGCAAAGUGCCGGUGCUGUACAGACCUCGGUGGUGGUGGUUUUGCAUGCAGAAGUGAAAUUCAGAAGGCCGCGUGUGAGCACGUGGUUUUGAGUAUCCGAGGAGCCCAGGAGGAGGAACCCACAGACCCCCAGCUGAUGCGGCUGGACAACAUGCUGUUAGCGGAAGGCGUGGCGGGGCCUGAGAAGGGCGGAGGGUCGGCGGCAGCGGCGGCAGCGGCGGCGGCUUCUGGAGGGGCAGGUUCAGACAACUCAGUGGAGCAUUCAGAUUACAGAGCCAAACUCUCACAGAUCAGACAAAUCUACCAUACGGAGCUGGAGAAAUACGAGCAGGCCUGCAACGAGUUCACCACCCAUGUGAUGAAUCUCCUGCGAGAGCAAAGCCGGACCAGGCCCAUCUCCCCAAAGGAGAUUGAGCGGAUGGUCAGCAUCAUCCAUCGCAAGUUCAGCUCCAUCCAGAUGCAGCUCAAGCAGAGCACGUGCGAGGCGGUGAUGAUCCUGCGUUCCCGAUUUCUGGAUGCGCGGCGGAAGAGACGGAAUUUCAACAAGCAAGCGACAGAAAUCCUGAAUGAAUAUUUCUAUUCCCAUCUCAGCAACCCUUACCCCAGUGAGGAAGCCAAAGAGGAGUUAGCCAAGAAGUGUGGCAUCACAGUCUCCCAGGUAUCAAACUGGUUUGGAAAUAAGCGAAUCCGGUACAAGAAGAACAUAGGUAAAUUUCAAGAGGAAGCCAAUAUUUAUGCUGCCAAAACAGCUGUCACUGCUACCAAUGUGUCAGCCCAUGGAAGCCAAGCUAACUCACCCUCAACUCCCAACUCAGCUGGUUCUUCCAGUUCUUUUAACAUGUCAAACUCUGGAGAUUUGUUCAUGAGCGUGCAGUCACUCAAUGGGGAUUCUUACCAAGGGGCCCAGGUUGGAGCCAACGUGCAAUCACAGGUGGAUACCCUUCGCCAUGUUAUCAGCCAGACAGGAGGAUACAGUGAUGGACUCGCAGCCAGUCAGAUGUACAGUCCGCAGGGCAUCAGUGCUAAUGGAGGUUGGCAGGAUGCUACCACCCCUUCAUCAGUGACCUCCCCUACAGAAGGCCCUGGCAGUGUUCACUCUGAUACCUCCAACUGAUCUCCCAGCAAUCGCAUCCCGGCUGACCCUGUGCCCCAGUUGGGGCAGGGGCAGGAGGGAGGGUUUCUCUCCCAACGCUGAAGCGGUCAGACUGGAGGUCGAAGCAAUCAGCAAACACAAUAAGAGUCUCCUUCUCUUCUCUUCUUUGGGAUGCUAUUUCAGCCAAUCUGGACACUUCUUUAUACUCUCUUCCCUUUUUUUUCUGGGUAGAAGCCACCCUUCCCUGCCUCCAGCUGUCAGCCUGGUUUUCGUCAUCUUCCCUGCCCCUGUGCCUCUGUCCUAGACUCCCGGGGUCCCUGCCCUCUCUCAUAUCACUGAAGGAUAUUUUCAACAAUUAGAGGAAUUUAAAGAGGAAAAAAACUACAAAGAAAAUAAUAAAAGUGUUUGUACGUUUUCAUGCUGGUGGUUUGAGGAGCCAAAUUUAC